rnacentral:rRNA from 1 species
AUCGAACGCUGGCGGCAGGCCUAACACAUGCAAGUCGAACGAGUGGCGGACGGGUGAGUAAUGUCUGGGAAACUGCCUGAUGGAGGGGGAUAACUACUGGAAACGGUAGCUAAUACCGCAUACCAUCGGAUGUGCCCAGAUGGGCUUAGCUAGUAGGUGGGGUAAUGGCUCACCUAGGCGACGAUCCCUAGCUGGUCUGAGAGGAUGACCAGCCACACUGGAACGGAGACGCGGUCCAGACUCCUACGGGAGGCAGCAGUGGGGAAUAAUGCACGAUGGGCGCAAGCCUGAGGCAGCCAUGCCGCGUGUGUGAAGAAGGCCGUCGGGUUGUAAAGCACUGUCAGCGAGGAGGCGUUACUCGCAGGAGAUGCACCGGCUGACUCCGUGCCAGCAGCCGCGGUAAUAC